UGGUUCUGGCAUCGAUGAAGAACGCAGCGAAAUGCGAUAAGUAAUGUGAAUUGCAGAAUUCAGUGAAUCCUCGAAUCUUUAAACGCACAUCGCGCCCAUUAGUAUUCUAGUGGGCAUGCCUGUUCGAGCGUCAUUGCAACCCCUAAGCACAGCUUAUUGUUGGGACUCUACGGCUUCCGUAGUUCCUCAAAGACAUUGGCGGAGUGGCAGCAGUCCUCUGAGCGUAGUAAUUUUUUAUCUCGCUUCUGUUAGGUGCUGUCCUCCCGGCCGUAAAACCCCCAAUUUUUUCUGGUUGACCUCGGAUCAGGUAGGAAUACCCGCUGA
rnacentral:misc_RNA from 1 species